rnacentral:lncRNA from 1 species
GUUAUACAUGACAGCAGAAUGUGUUUCAAUUCAUAGUACACAUAUAGAGCAUGAUCUUUUAUAUCACACCAUUCGUGUCUCCAUACAUGUACUUAGGGUGACCAUGUCCAUCUCAUUCCACCAUCUUUCCUACUUCCACUCCCCUCCCUUCCUCUCCCUCCCCUUUCCCAUCUGAAGUCCCUCCAUUCCUCCCAUGCUAUCCCCUCCAGCCCCAUUGUGAAUCAGCCUCCUCAUGUCACAGAACGCCUUCGGCACGGGGUUCAUCCCAGGGAUGCAAGGUGGGUCCGACGUACGGAAAUCAAGAGAUGUGAUUCAUCACAUCAACAGACUGAAGAUAAGAAUCCCACGCCCGUCCCGUCUCAGUAGAUGCAGAGAAAGUGCAGUGCACAUCUAUCUGCUGGCCGCAUGGGCAGAAUCCGUUUCAGAUAGACCUACCUUGUUUUACCCAACGGCCCUUGAUCACCAUUAGGCAGAAAAUGAAAUAACGUUUUUUUGAAGAAGUUUUUGUAAAGUAUUGAAUGAAACUUUGGUGAAUUGAUCUGCUCAGCAGUCCCUCUGUCCUCCUGGUGUUUGGUCAUGGUAGUCUCAAAGAAGACCCAAAAAGCUCCACCAGGAAAUUUUUAGAACUAAUAAAUGAAUUCAGCAAAGUAGCAGGAUCAGCACCCCAAAAUCAAAGGCAUUUCUGUAUAUCAGUGACAAAUCCUCUGAAAGGGAAACGAGGAAAACUACCCCACUAACAAUAGCCUUAAAAAAAAAAAAUUAAAUAGUUGGGAAUCAACUUAAUGAAAGACCUCUACAGUGAAAACUACAGAAGGAAAUUAAAGAAGACCUUAGAAGAUGGAAAGAUCUCCCUUGCUCUUGGAUAGGCAGAAUUAACAUUGUCAGAAUGACUAUACUACCAAAGGCACUAUACAGAUUCAGUACAAUUCCAAUCAAAAUCCCAAUGACAUUCCUCAUAGAAACAGAAAAAGAAAUCAUGAAAUUCAUCUGGAAAGAUAAGAGACCCAGAAUAGCUAAAGCAAUCCUUAGCAGCAAGAGUAAAGCAGGUGGCAUCACUCUACUAGACCUUAAACUAUACUACAGAGCCACAGUAACAAAAACAGCAUGGUAUUGGCACCAAAAUAGCCUUGUAGACCAAUGGUACAGAAUAGAGGACACAGAGGCUAACCCACACAACUACAAUUACCUUAUAUGAGACAAAGGUGCCAAGAGCAUGCACUGGAGAAAAGACGGCCUCUUCAACAAAGGGUGCUGGGAGAACUGGAGAUCCAUACGCAGCAAAAUGAAAUUGAACCCCUCACUCUCACCAUGCACAAAACUCAAAGCGGAUCAAGAACCUAGGAAUUAAACCAGAGACCCUGUGCCUAAUAGAAGAAAAAGUAGGCCCAAAUCUGUCAUGUUGGAUUAUGCCCCAACUUCCUUAAUAAGACUCCUGUAGUGCAAGAAUUAAAACCAAGAAUUAAUAAUGGGAUGGAUUCAAACUAAAAAGUUUCUUCUCAGCAAAAGAAACAAUUGGGGAGGGUGAACAGAGAGCCUACAGAAUGGGAGCAAAUUUUUACCACACGCACAUCAGAUAACAUCAAAAGAACAAAUGAUCCAAUCAAUCAAUGGGCCAAGGAACUGAACAGACACUUCUCAGAAGAGGAUAUACAACCAGCCAGCAAAUAUAUGAAAAAAUGUCCAACGUCUCUAGCAAUUAGAGAAAUGCAAAUUAAAGCUACUCUAAGAUUUCGUCUCACUCCAGUCAGAAUGGCAGCCAUUAAGAAUACAAACAGGGGCUGGG